rnacentral:rRNA from 1 species
CAGUCGCCACGGUAAUACGAAGGGUGCAAGCGUUACUCGGAAUUACUGGGCGUAAAGCGUGCGUAGGUGGUGGUUUAAGUCCGUUGUGAAAGCCCUGGGCUCAACCUGGGAAUUGCAGUGGAUACUGGGUCACUAGAGUGUGGUAGAGGAUAGUGGAAUUUCCGGUGUAGCAGUGAAAUGCGUAGAGAUCGGAAGGAACAUCUGUGGCGAAGGCGACUAUCUGGGCCAACACUGACACUGAGGCACGAAAGCGUGGGGAGCAAACAGGAUUAGAGACCCAGUAGUCCCUGUCUCUUAUACA